rnacentral:misc_RNA from 1 species
GAUGAAGAACGUAGCGAAAUGCGAUAAGUAAUGUGAAUUGCAGAAUUCAGUGAAUCAUCGAAUCUUUGAACGCACAUUGCGCCCCUUGGUAUUCCGAGGGGCAUGCCUGUUCGAGCGUCAUUAUAACCCCUCAAGCUCAGCUUGGUGUUGGGGCCUGCCGCACGGGCACCCCUUAAAAUCAGUGGCGGUGCCAUCUGGCUCUAAGCGUAGUAAUUCUUCUCGCUAUAGAGUCCCGGUGGAUGCUUGCCAUUAACCCCCAAUUUUCUAUGGUUGACCUCGGAUCAGGUAGGGAUACCCGCUGAACUUAAGCAUAUCAAUAAGCGGAGGA